GACGAACGCUGGCGGCGUGCUUAACACAUGCAAGUCGAACGGAAAGGCCCUGCUUUUGUGGGGUGCUCGAGUGGCGAACGGGUGAGUAACACGUGAGUAACCUGCCCUUGACUUUGGGAUAACUUCAGGAAACUGGGGCUAAUACCGGAUAGGAGCUCCUGCUGCAUGGUGGGGGUUGGAAAGUUUCGGCGGUUGGGGAUGGACUCGCGGCUUAUCAGCUUGUUGGUGGGGUAGUGGCUUACCAAGGCUUUGACGGGUAGCCGGCCUGAGAGGGUGACCGGCCACAUUGGGACUGAGAUACGGCCCAGACUCCUACGGGAAGCAGCAGUGGGGAAUAUUGCACCAUGGGCGGAAGCCUGAUGCAGCAACGCCGCGUGCGGGAUGACGGCCUUCGGGUUGUAAACCGCUUUCGCCUGUGACGAAGCGUGAGUGACGGUAAUGGGUAAAGAAGCACCGGCUAACUACGUG
rnacentral:rRNA from 1 species